ensembl:lncRNA
GGAAAAUAAUGGGAUGAGUUGCGUUGCUCAGAUGCUUUUGAGCAACACACUAAUUUGUUUCCCCAGAGCCUGCUGCACCUUCCGUGAGCAUUCAGGAGACAGGGAGGAACAUCACUCUGGUGGGGACGCGGCUGUGCUGGUCAGACGCCCUGCUCUACUGCAGAGACUCUCACUGGGACCUGCUGAGCCUCAGGGGCCCAGAAGACCAGGAGAUGGUUGAUGAGAUGGUUGAUGAGCUGGUGGCUCGCGCCCCCUUCCCACUAACCAGCCACCUCUGGGUGGGCCUGCGCAGGUACUGGCCAGGCCUUAAGGGCUGAUUAUGGUUCCAAGUUGAUGCAACGCAAGGCGGUUGCUGGUCCACAAGGACAUACUGGGUACUGACCCAGUAUGUCCUUGUGGACCCUCUGUCUAUCAACCACAAUGAGCCUGACAUUCCCCUCCCAAAGAUUUGAACCUUGCGUCGAGGCGACGCAGCAGCAAUUGCUGCGAUUGGUCCGCUCACUAAAACCCGAUGCAGAACCAAAACCGGUUCACAACUGCAUCAAAGCGACUGCAUGGUCCUUGCGUUGAGUCGACGUGGUACCAUAGUCAGCCCCCUAGUGUCUAUCAAGCAAUCAAGUUAUUAUGAUCAUCUGUCUGUCAAUCACUUUGUCUGAUGAAACACCAUGAAACUACCAAAAGCUGAAUAUUCAGCCACAUUAUUCUUCCUUUCACCCUGGUCAAUCUUAAAUGUUGUUAGGUCCCUUUCAGGAAGCACCUGGUUUUGGAUGUCCGCUGACCCGAUGGACUUCAGCCAAUGGGACGAAGGCUCAUACCAUUCCUCCCCCUGUGGGGGCGUGUCCAGCGUGGAACCUUCCACAUGGAGGCAGCGCUCCUGUGAAGAACAUCUUAACUUCAUCUGUUUCACAGGUCAGACAGAAGGAGUGAACAAGUUGCACUUUUAUAGUUCCACAAGAGAGAAUCAAGCUCGCUGCACCUUACUUGGCCGCCCUGGGGAAUAAAGCGGCAGAUUCUGAAGACGUCCUGAGGAUUGAAGGUUCUAAAUGAAGUAGCUCAGAGUGUCUGUUUUGUCUGCUAGCUGGUUCUGCAUUUUGUCAUUAUGGGCUUCAUGAAAGGCCACAUUUAUUCCCAGCAUAGCAUAAAGGAUAUAUUUACUUUGGUAUAUAAUCAAUAAACGUAUUUAUUAGCAGAUGUAGGUGCAUCAUUCCUUUGUUAAGAAAUGUGGAGAAUGUGAGUUCAAGAUGGUAUCAAAAGACUAGAUGAAGUAUCUGUUGGCUUUAUCUCUGUCUGGCUUGACUGAUGUGAUGUGUUUUAAUAAUGUUAACGCUUUAACCAGUAGUGAAUGUGCUGGUUUGUCUUUCUUUUGCAUAUGAAUGGAACGUAGAUAAUGUUCUUCAAUAAAAGUCUUCGCCGUUGUCCACAAAUUCCUUGCGGGUACUGUGUUUGUUUUUAUCCCCCUGUCGCACGGAAGUGACGAUUCUGUCGACCAAUCAACGAACGGCGCGUGUAUCUUGAAGGCGUUGGCACCCUUUCAGACGUCUCUGUACCCCAACGGAGGAGUACUGCGAGAUGAGGACGGCUCAUCAUGGCUCAGUCUGGACCCCGCCCACUUUAGUUAUUUUCACACCUUUGCACAUCGAACCAACCCGCACCCGCUGGGGGUAACGCGCCAUAAUAUUUAUGUAUAUAUUUUCAUUUGGGGGAGGGCGUCUUCAAACAGUGA